rnacentral:sRNA from 1 species
GCCAGGCGUGGUGACAGGAGCCUGUAGUCCCAGCUACUCGGGAGGCUGAGGCAGGAGAAUGGCAUGAACCCAGGAGGCAGAGCUUGCAGUGAGCCAAGAUAGUGCCACUGCACUCUAGCCUGGGCGACAGAGCGAGACUCUGUCUCAAAAAUUAAAAAUAAAAAUAAAAUAAAAUAAAAUAUUCUUUUUUUUUUUUUGAGACAGAGUCUCGCUCUGUCACCCAGGCUGGAGUGCAGUGGCACAAUCUUGGCUCACUGCAAGCUCCGCCUCCUGGGUUCAAGCGAUUCUCUGUCUCA